rnacentral:rRNA from 1 species
CCCUUAGAUGUUCUGGGCCGCACGCGCGCUACACUGACUGGUUCAUCGAGCUUACAACCUUGACUGAUAGGUCUGGGUAAUCUUUUGAAAGCCAGUCGUGCUGGGGAUAGACUGUUGUAAUUUUCAGUCUUCAACGAGGAAUUCCUAGUAAACGCAGAUCAUCAAUCUGCAUUGAUUACGUCCCUGCCCUUUGUACACACCGCCCGUCGCACCUACCGAUUGGAUGGUCCGGUGAAGCCUCGGGAUUGUGGUUCUUGCCGCUUUAUUGUGGCGUGACCGCGAGAACUUGUCUAAACCUUAUCAUCUAGAGGAAGGUGAAGUCGUAACA